rnacentral:rRNA from 7 species
UUUGACCUCAAAUCAGGUAGGAUUACCCGCUGAACUUAAGCAUAUCAAUAAGCGGAGGA